rnacentral:lncRNA from 10 species
CCUCUCGCAGCCGCAGCCCGCCUUCAAAGCGGACCAAGGCCCGCGGACGGCGCAGCCAAUAGGCUUUCUGGGGUUUGCUCUCUAGCUAAUGGGAAGACUAUCUUUUUACGCCCUUGGCCAGUAAGAGAGCAGAUGGUGGCCUCAGCGACCUAUGGCAAAGUCCUUUCCCACCCCCUAACGGAGGCUCUGGGAGAGAGAGGAUGCAGGACCAAGACCCGAGAAGAAGCCUGCGUCUGGGCCUGGGUGGGACGGAUUCAGGCGCGCAGCAACAACAGGGUGCCUGGCACAAGGAGAUACUCAGUAAAACUCUCAUCUGCUGUGUCAUUAAGGGGAACACUUAAUGGCUCACGCCUGUAAUCCCAGCACUUUGGGAGGCCGAGGCGGAAGGAUCACCUGAGCCCAGGAGUUGGAGACCAGCCUGGGCAACAGAUUGAGACCCUGUCUCAACAAAGAAGAAGAAGAAGAAAAAGGCCAGGCGCCGUGGCUAAUGUCUGUAAUCCCAGCACUUUGGGAGGCCAAGAAGGGAGAACUGCUUGAGGCCAGGAGUUCGAGACCAGCCUGGUCAACAUAGCGA